AACGAACGCUGGCGGCAUGCCUAACACAUGCAAGUCGAACGAGACCUUCGGGUCUAGUGGCGCACGGGUGCGUAACACGUGGGAAUCUGCCCUUGGGUUCGGAAUAACAGUUGGAAACGACUGCUAAUACCGGAUGAUGACGUAAGUCCAAAGAUUUAUCGCCCAAGGAUGAGCCCGCGUCGGAUUAGCUAGUUGGUGGG
rnacentral:rRNA from 1 species